rnacentral:lncRNA from 1 species
ACACAUUCAAAUUCAUAUCACACUAAAGUUAUAAAAACACAUAUUUGAUAAUUUAAACAUUAUACAUUCUACAGUUGCCCCUAAUAAGUAAAUAUGCAGAUGUGCUAAGUAUUUUCUUGGCGAUUUGUAUUGUUGUCACCUGAUCAUAUUCUCACAUCCACCGAAUAAAGUAGGCUCACUCGACACAUCACAUGCUGAAACAGAGAAUUUUGAUCAAAAACUUAUAAAGAAAUAAAAUUUUGCCAACAAGCUAAAAGGAAGAUCUGGGUAUAUAAAUAAACGAAAGGUCUGAUUCUUCUUACAAAUAAAUCUGUUACUUGAUCCAACAAUAGCAUUGAACUGAAGUUGUUAGAUACUCAACAUGAAUAAGAGCUAAAGUACAAAGCUAUUUCCUUGGAUAUCAUCACAACACUUACAUCCACAAACUAUUUACUUGAUAGCAUAAAUUCUUGCCAUAUAUUCACGAAAAUCAUAAUGUAACUAAUAAAUCAUAAGUUAACCACUAUAAGCUUUCUAACUUUUAGAAUCAAACAAAUAAAUUAUAAGCCGUAAUCUAUCCUAAUGAUUAACAAACUUAUGAUUAACAAACUUGCAUCAAAACUGAAGGCUAAUAACACUAGGAAAUUGAAGCAGAAGAAAUGAACUGAAUAAAAUAGGAGUGGUCUGAUAGGAGUAGUUAGUUAAACAAACCAAGCAUGUUAAAAUCUGUUGGAUCCAACUUCAAACAAAAGAAGCAACAAAUUAAAACGCGCAAAACUUUUUCUAAGGCAUGAAUUCUACUAGUAUCUGUAUUAUCAGUAAAAACUACAAAAGAAUAUAUAACAAAUUACUCUUAGUUACUUAAUGUAACCUGAGGAAAAGAUGUGAAAAGAUUUAGAAGAUGAGUUAACAAGCAUAACUUACCACUCAAUGCCAUCAUAACAAUAUAUCAAUCAGUUAAACCAAAAUAUGCAUAGAUUAGCAUUCAAUCAAGUUGACUUCAUCAAAGUUUUUGUCCCUAGAAUUACUCCACAGUAAGAGAUCCACUUAUGGGAACACAUACGAAUGCAAGAUAUAAAAAAUAAGGUGAAUCAAAUGUGAAUACCAUUUCUGAACAUAGCUUUAAACCAAAUAUGAAUAUCAUCUCUAAACAUACCUAUAAACGAAAUAAAUAAGCACUACUUAAAGAUGCAAUAUUGUUACCUUUAAAUAAAAUACCAUAUUAAAUAAAAAAUUUAUUCGGAUUUAUAUGCAUUUGUUGCUAAAUAAGUAGCAGUAUUUGCCUCGACUACAUCAUCAAUUAGAUGGUCUGUAGCUAGUUAUAUCCCAACUCUUAGUAUGGCUCAUUCUCAUAACCUUCAUCUUCCAUAACUUCUUUUGUAUCAUACAAAUCUCUUAGCUUUAGGUUUACUAAAAAUACUUCAUCCUUAAUUGAAAACAUCAUCUACAUAGUACCCCAUAUUUAUGCUUGAAAUACUUCGAUGUAAGGCUCAUGUUCUUCACCCUCAAUCUCGAAUAAUUAUAUAGAAAGUUGGAGUAUAUUUUCUUUUUUCCAAAUAAAUAAAACAUCAAUAGCAUACAAAUAAUUUACCUGCCUAAUGAUCUUUGUAUGCUAGAAUUAUUCAAAUUUGAAGGCAUAUAUAAAAUAUGCUCAAAAACUUAUGCAAGACGUACAUAAACUAGUUUUUACAACAAAAUGAGUCAACUUACCUGAUAGCGGGUUUGAAGUUACACCAUGUCCAGUAAUCUUAGAAACGUGCACAUCUGCAAUAAUGAUAUGAUGCAAGACAUAUUACUAGAGGAAGUUUUUAUUUGCAGUAAUUCAUUUUUUAAGGAAAGUGAAAAACUAAACUACUAAAGUAUGAGCUAGAGAAGGAAAAAUUUGUCACCAUAGCAAGUAAAAGAUAUGCAUGGGGGCAUUUUUUAAGACGAAUAGGCUUAUAGGUAUUUAAAAAAGGAUAUUUAGUACUUUUAAUACAAAAUUAGAGUUUUUAAUAUAAGAGGAAAUAGAGCUCUUUAGAUAUGUAAAUAAAGUAAUAGUUUGACAUACUCAAAAUGAUAGAUGAAUAGUUUUCUCAAUGUUUCACUUUUACUCCUUCAUUAGAUAAUGUAUAAAAAAAUUCACUCUCUCUUUCUUAAUAUGUCCAAGUCAAUCUUUCUUUUCUCCAAUAUCUUUAUAUUUCAGAAACCCCUAUAUAUUUUCUUUCUUUCUUUUUAAUAUUCUUACUCACUUGUUUUCUCCAAUAUUUCAUUACUCACUUUCUUUCUACAAGAUAUCAUUAGCUCCACUGUUCAACAAUACUUUUAAGCUUCUAAUAAUUCUAUACUUCUAUUGCUCUAUAAAAUAUUAUCUAAUAUUUACAAUAUCUCAAGAAAGAUUAAAUGAGCUGGUUAUAUUAUCAAUUGAAUAAAGACAAUUAUAGAAAAUCAAUUAUAAAAAAAUAUUAUUAACAACAUUGUAUCUCAAAAAGUUAGAAGAAUAUACUUCAAGUAAAAACGUAUGCUAUAACUUUCUUUUAAAAAAAUAGGCCUCAUAUUAAACUUUGGUCUUAGGCUCUGCAUAUACUUGAGCCGCUCAUGUCUCCCAUAUUAUAUUAAUUUAUGGGUCAAUCAAUUUCAACAUCACACAACAAAACUAAAUUCUAAUUGGAAUCUGGAAAAGCUUUACCUUAAAUAAAGGAGCUUCUUAUUACAACACUGAGUAGUCUAUAGCCUGAAGCAAAACAUUUAAUGGUCUUUCCUCGAAUAUCAACACUCUUUAAAAAAGAGAAUAAGUUUCAAGCUAGAUUGUCCAUAAGGGUUUCAUUACUGGUUCAAGCAAUAACUACAACUGAAAACCCAAAUUCUACUGCUACUGAGAUAAAGAAAAUAAAUGAAAUUAAGAGGAAAAGAAAAAAAGAAAAAAAAUUACCUUUAGACGAGCAGUGACAUUCUGAAGUUGAUUCACCCAAAUGAAUACUUCACUUCAGAAAUUCCCAAGAUACAAUGCAAUACCAAUAAAUCGUAUUCCUAGCCUGAAAAUACCUUAAUAAAAAAUUACUUAAAUUGAAACAAUGGAGCAACGCAAAAGACAUAAUCUGUGAUUCAAAAAUCAUAGCAGGAGCCAUAAAUUGAGAAGAAGAAUAAUACUUACAAAAUGUAACUAAUAUGGACAGAAAAUUGCGAGAGAGCGCAUCUGAAGGGAAGCAAUGCACUAGAGAAGAAGCAGUUCAGCCGAAG